AAGACAUAGUCUGAACCCUUUUUAAAGAAAUGGAAAUAUUGUAUUAUGAUAACAAAUAGAACAGGCUAAUUUGCGCAAGAGUGCACAUAUUGAGUGCGCGGUUUGGCACCUCGAUGUCGGCUUAACUUAUCCUCAUGGAUGUAAGAGCUAUGUAGGGUGCGACUGUUCGUCGAUUAAAAAGUUACACGAGCUGGGUUAAAUACGUCGUGAGACAGUAUGGUUUCUAUCUUCUAGGGGGAAUAAGAAUAAAAUAAGAUUAAACUUUGGUACGAAAGGAACAAGAGCAAUUUUUCUUCUAUGUCUAAUGAUAAGGUUUGCUAACCUAUGGUGUACCUGUUGUUUAUGUGGCCAAAUAUUAAAUAUAUAUACUACUUAUAUAUCAGUAUUAUUAUACAGGGAUGUUUAAUUGACUAAGAUAAAUGUAUAGCAUAAGCACGGCAGGAUAGCUAAGUUAGUUAAGAUAAGUGCUGAUAGCUUAGAGGCACGAAGCUUAUCUUAAGAUAAUUCUUAAAUAUACGUAAUAUACUAUUACGAAAUUAAAUUUAUAGGCUUUGUCUGUAAGAGUCAGGAGGUUUUUAUGAAUAAAGUACUAAUUUAAUAA
rnacentral:ncRNA from 1 species